rnacentral:rRNA from 1 species
UACAGAGGGGGCAAGCGUUGUUCGGAAUUACUGGGCGUAAAGGGCGCGUAGGCGGCCUGCUAUGUCGAACGUGAAAUCCCCAGGCUUAACCUGGGAACUGCAUCCGAUACUGGAUGGCUUGAAUUCGGGAGAGGGAUGCAGAAUUCCAGGUGUAGCGGUGAAAUGCGUAGAUAUCUGGAGGAAUACCGGUGGCGAAGGCGGCAUCCUGGACCGACAUUGACGCUGAGGAGCGAAAGCUAGGGGAGCAACGGG